AUUGAACGCUGGCGGCAGGCUUAACACAUGCAAGUCGAACGAGCGGCGGACGGGUGAGUGAUGUCUGGGAAAGUGCCUGAUGGAGGGGGAUAACUACUGGAAAAGGUAGCUAAUACCGCAUACGAUCAGAUGUGGUCAGAUGGGAUUAGCUAGUGGGUGGGGUAUAGGCUCACCUAGGCGACGAUCCCUAGCUGGGCUGAGAGGCUGACCAGCCACACUGGAACUGAGACACGGUCCAGACUCCUACGGGAGGCAGCAGUGGGGAAUCUUGCACAAUGGGCGCAAGCCUGAUGCAGCCAUGCCGCGUGUGUGAAGAAGGCCUUCGGGUUGUAAAGCACUUUCAGCGAGGAGGCGUUACUCGCAGAAGAAGCACCGGCUAACUCCGUGCCAGCAGCCGCGGUAAUAC
rnacentral:rRNA from 1 species